rnacentral:lncRNA from 1 species
CCGGGGUUAAAUUACAAAAUUAUUUAAGGUUGAGGGAUACUCCAUGAAUUAAAUUGAUGUGAUUAUUAUGUUACUUGAUAGUUUUAUUAAUUUUUAUUAUUAAAUGAACAUGAUUUGUUAAGUGGAUUUUAUGAAUGUAAGGUUUAGGGAUUAAAUUGCUUAAUUGAAGAUUUUCAUGUAUAUUGUAUGAAAUAAUGGAAAAUUGUCAAUUAUUUACUCUUAGGGAAGAAUUGGUUAUCAUGGGUUUAAGUUAAAAUGGUUAAAUUUAAAGUUACGAGCUUAAGGACUAAGUUGUGAAAAAGUUAAAAUAGGAAGGAUAAUUUUGUAAUUUCAUGAUAAUAUGAAUUAUGGAUUGAAUUGAAUACUUGAGGUUAUUUGAAGUACUUAAUUGAAUGAAAUUAUUUAUUUAGAUCAAGAUAAGCAACAACUGGACUUAAAUCGGGGAAAAAUAAAAGCUUUGGAUUAGUCUCCAACUCUACUUUUGCGACUAUAGUUAUCGAGGUAAGUUCGUAUGAAUUAUUUACUCUUAGGGAAGAAUCGGUUAUCAUGGGUUUAAGUUAAAAUGGUUACAUUUAAAGUUACGAGCUUAAGGACUAAGUUGUGAAAAAGUUAAAAUAGGAAGGAUAAUUUUG